rnacentral:lncRNA from 1 species
AUGCCCAAGUCUUAUUGUGUCUACUACAAUAUGUAGCUCUCCCAUGACUUGCCAUCUGUGAGAAAGGCCCACUUCAGUGGUAGGAAACACAAAGAGAAUGUGAAAGACUACUACCAAAAAUGGAGAGAAGAACAGUCAGACCCUGAUUGACUAAACAAUGGCUGCAUUUCAUCCAGGAAAGAUACCUCCUACUCUAUUCUCUGCUCCUCCUCUGCAGGGGCAAUGAUACCCCCUCCCCCCAGCCUUCCAGGUCCUCUUUGCCCAAGUAUAAUGCCAGCACCCCAUAUGCGAGCCCUCCCAUGAUGCCAAUGAUGGGCCCUCCUUUCCGUGGGAUGAUGCCAGUGGGACUUGCUCCUGGAAUGAAGCCACUCAUGGGAGGUCACAUGUCAAUGAUAAGGCCUCCCGCCUGUCCCAUGAUGGUGCCUGCUUGGCCUAGAAUGACUUGACCAGAUGGUUAA